GACGAACGCUGGCGGCGUGCUUAACACAUGCAAGUCGAACGGAGUGGCGAACGGGUGAGUAACACGUGGGUGAUCUGCCUUGCACUUCGGGAUAAGCUUGGGAAACUGGGUCUAAUACCGGAUAGUGCAAGAUGAGCUCGCGGCCUAUCAGCUUGUUGGUGGGGUAAUGGCCUACCAAGGCGUCGACGGGUAGCCGGCCUGAGAGGGUGACCGGCCACAUUGUGACUGAGAUACGGCCCAGACUCCUACGGGAGGCAGCUGUGGGGGAUAUUGCACAAUGGGCGACAGCCUGAUGCAGCGACGCCGCGUGGGGGAUGAAGGCUUUCGGGUUGUAAACCUCUUUUGCUAUCGAACAUGUAGGUGGAGAAAAAGCGCCGGCUAACUACGUGCCAGCAGCCGCGGUAAUUC
rnacentral:rRNA from 1 species